AGAAUUCGGAACAGAUACUGCGUAAAC
rnacentral:sRNA from 1 species